AUUGAACGCUGGCGGCAUGCUUUACACAUGCAAGUCGAACGGCAGCGCGGGCUUCGGCCUGGCGGCGAGUGGCGAACGGGAGAGUAAUACAUCGGAACGUGCCCAGUAGUGGGGGAUAGCUCGGCGAAAGCCGGAUUAAUACCGCAUACGACCUGAGGGUGAAAGCGGGGAAUCUUCGGACCUCGCGCUAUUGGAGCGGCCGAUGGCAGAUUAGCUAGUUGGUGGGGUAAAGGCCUACCAAGGCGACGAUCUGUAGCUGGUCUGAGAGGACGACCAGCCACACGGGGACUGAGACACGGCCCAGACUCCUACGGGAGGCAGCAGUGGGGAAUUUUGGACAAUGGGCGAAAGCCUGAUCCAGCAAUGCCGCGUGUGUGAUGAAGGCCUUCGGGUUGUAAAGCACUUUUGGCGGGAACGAAAAGGACUGUGCCAAUACCACGGUUCGAUGACGGUACCCGCAGAAUAAGCACCGGCUAACUACGUG
rnacentral:rRNA from 1 species